rnacentral:rRNA from 1 species
UACGGAGGGUGCAAGCAUUAAUCGGAAUUAUUGGGCGUAAAGGGCGCGUAGGCUGAUUGACAAGUCAGAUGUGAAAUACCAAAGCUCAACUUUGGUGCUGCAUUUGAAACUGUUAGUCUCGAGGGUUGACGGAGAAAACGGAAUUCCACGUGUAGCGGUGAAAUGCGUAGAUAUGUGGAAGAACACCAGUGGCGAAAGCGGUUUUCUAGUUUAUACCUGACGCUGAGGCGCGAGAGCAAGGGGAGCAAACAGG